GAUUUUGUAUUUCAAUUGGUAGAAUAGCAGUGCAUAACAGCAGGAUGAAGGUUCGAAUCCUUCCAAAAUCA
rnacentral:tRNA from 1 species